ensembl:lncRNA
CAGCUACACGACAGCUGUCCUUUCAAUAUUUGCACUGAAGCAGUAAGGAUGUAAGGAGAACAGCAGCUCUCUUCACUACCAGGGCUUGGUUUCUUGGUCUUCAGCACACCAACACUGUGCAGGCCUCCAAGUCCUAGUUUGGGAGCUCAGUAUCCUAAAGAAUUAAAAUGGCAAGGAAUUAUCAUUUAAAUACAACAGUGAGUGGGGAGGAGAGAGAAAGCAAAAUACUGUGAAAGGUCUUGAUGUUGUGAGGAUAGUAGCAGUGGACAAUGGGGAAUAAACAUUUGCUGGGCUUUCUGCCACUGGCUGGCUUGUGUACAAGCUUGGCUAAACUUUCAUUCAUGUGGACAAGAUACUGCAGUAACUUCAGCUUUGAGUCUCUUGAUUGAGGCUUCAUCCAAGCAUUCUAUUCUCAAGAGCAGAAAUGUUAGUGCUGCUUGGAACGCCAGCUCUGUCAGGAAGUUUCAGGUAAGGUAUGAAAAUGAUGUUACUGUUCUAGAUCAGCAUCACCUUUCAAUUUCUUAUUACUUCCAUACUUCAAAUAGACCUUGGAGUCACUGGGAAGUAGCAGGUACAAGGUGGUGGUAGCUUUUGUGGAGUUCGUUGUUUCACAUUGAGUUACACCAUUGGCUGCACUAGAACAAAUAAUCAUAGUUGUAAUUUGUAGUCAUCAGAAAUAUGUCUUUUCUUCUUUAGCUGAUAGUAAUGCAAAACCUACUGUGGCUUGACACAUUUGCGAUACACAUGAACUUUGUAUUUUAUCUUGGACGUGAAAAAGGCUGAUACUGUCAGGUCUUUCCUCAAGGCAAAGACAGCAACUCAGCUCUCUUCUCACAGUACAGAAUUGAUUUAGAUUUCCCUUCCUUAAAAUCUAAUUAAUGCUUUCCACCUUGGAGCAUCUCCACCCUAGGAAGGAUUGCAAGGUACAACAAAAAGUAAACAUUAUGUAGAUAAAUAAAUAUGGAUUUACAUCAACAUAGCUGGGAUAAAGAGGUGUUAUAAUUUCUAAAUCUGUUGUUAAAAAGAGUGAAUGAUCAUGCAGACAAAUGAGGUCUGGAUAAUAUACUUAAUUUUAGGAAAUAUUUGGGAAGUUCUUUCUCAAAAAGCCUUGGCUCGUGCUCUCUUAGUCACUCCAGGAAGAUGACUCUAUGAGGAUUAAUAACAGACCAUUAAUUCUCUAUUCUGUGUCUUAUCUUUUCACCAGUUUUCACAAUGGAGAGAAGUUACUAGCACUGUCAUCUAGAGAUUUAUAGGGCUGGAUCUGGAAAUGGAAAUCAUAGGAAAGUGAAAAAUGUGAGGAAUAUUCGGCUAAUUUUGGAACCCCAGGUUGAUUGUAAAAUGGGGUGUUGUGCUUAGUGUAAAGCAUUUCCAGUUUUAUGUGUGCCUACAAGUGCAACAGACUAUAAAAUAGCUGCUUGUCUGUCAGAAAGAGCUUGGAAUCAUCCUGGUUAGUGUUCAGAAGACAGCAGGAGUGAUUAAAAAGACAAUGCUGAGAGCUGAAGCCAAACUCACAAACCAUCUGUGGCACUGUAGAUCCAGUACGGGAGCUGCUCACCCGUGCUGUCCAGAGCAGUGAUGUGUGGGUGGCUUUGCCAGUCCUCUGAGGACGUGAGGUGGAGCUUUGGCAAAGAUACCAGAGGAGAGCCUGCUUUGUCUUGCAUUAUCCCAUCAUAUACAGAAAGUAAUUUUUCAGUAUGCUAACAUCAGCUGAAUAUUUGAACUGAAUCAAAAAAAGGAGGAGUGGAAAUAAUGAAAAGAGAUGGUGAUCAGAAUUUAACUCUGCUGGAAGAGCUACAGAAAUUCUUCACACAGACUUUCUUUCUUUUCCCAGCCAUUCUGUCUUUUCUUAAACAUAUUUAAUAAAGGGUAUUUGUCAAUCUAACAUUGCUUCUGUUCCAAGACUAGGGCACCUCUCCCACAAAUGAAUUCAAUAAUCUCAAAGAAACUGAAUUUUGUUAAUUCAGGUAUCUAUUAUUUUUCCUAAACAAGAGUGAGUUCACAAAGUAAAAACUAUUCCUGCUAAACUAAUCCACAGUCCAAGACAAAGUGAUUUCUGAGAAGCACUUAAAGUAAAAUAAGCCAUGUGUGUUUUGCAGUUAGAAGCCAUUUUCUUUUCCUUUCAAGAUGAAUUUUAAGAAGAAUAAAAAGUGACAGCUUACAUUCGGUUUUUGUGUAGGGUAGCACUUGAAAAUGUGACUAUUUCUAUAUACACUAUGUGUCCUGAGACAUUUGAUCAAUGAAAUAAAAUUAUCUAAUCCAUCCCUAUUAAAAAUCUUAAACAAAA